ACAAAACUUUUGGCCAAAUGGUUCACUGGCUCUUCCUUCACCAGAGCGAGACACCAAUACAAAAUUAAGGACUCGAAUUGCUACCAAGAUGGUUAUGUUAUGUAGUAUCUCAGAUGAGCUGAAACACAUUAUUGGAAGUGAAACAACUCGCAAAGGCCUUCUCUGUGUAUUUGAGAUGUUCCAACACCCUGAGUUGAAUCGACGGCUCAUGUAUGUCCUUCUGGAAGGAAUAUUGGAAAUCCUUUUUCCUGACAACCAGCUCUCUUCUGUUCUUAAGAAACUUCAUUCACGAUCGCCCCGCUUUUCUUCCGAAGACAUCACAGAUUCUAAA